AGGACGAACGCUGGCGGCGUGCUUAACACAUGCAAGUCGAGCGGUAAGGCCUUUCGGGGGUACACGAGCGGCGAACGGGUGAGUAACACGUGGGUGAUCUGCCCUGCACUCUGGGAUAAGCCUGGGAAACUGGGUCUAGUACCGGAUAUGACCUGCUCUCGCAUGGGGGUGGGUGGAAAG
rnacentral:rRNA from 1 species